GGUAAUACNUAGGAGCGAGCGUUUNCGGAUUUNUUGGNGUAAAGGUGNGUUAGGCGGUUAAUAANUCAGGUGUAAAUUAAGGGGCUCNACCCCUUAUCGCACUUGNAACUAUUUAGCNUGAGUGGUGGAGAGGGNAAGUGGAAUUCCUAGUGUAGCGGUGAAAAUGCGUAGAUAUUAGGAGGAAUACCGGUGGCGAAGGCGACUUUCUGGACACUAACUGACGCUGAGGCACGAAAGCGUGGGGAGCAAACAGGAUUAGAUACCCUGGUAGUCCACGCCGUAAACGAUGGAUACUAGAUGCAGGAGGUAUUCACUCCUUCUGUGUCGCAGCUAACGCAAUAAGUAUCCCGCCUGGGGAGUACGAUCGCAAGAUUAAAACUCAAAGGAAUUGACGGGGACCCGCACAAGCAGCGGAGCAUGUGGUUUAAUUCG
rnacentral:rRNA from 1 species